rnacentral:rRNA from 1 species
UAGAGUUUGAUCCUGGCUCAGAUUGAACGCUGGCGGCGUGGCUAAAGCAUGCAAGUCGAGCGCACCCGCAAGGGUGAGCGGCGAAAGGGUCAGUAACACGAUCGAACGUGCCCCGAGGUGGGGGAUAGCGGCGGGAAACUGCCGGUAAUACCCCAUGAUCUCUCCGGAGCAAAGGUUUACCGCCUUGGGAUCGGCGAUCGUCCUAUCAGCUUGUUGGCGGGGUAACGGCCCACCAAGGCGAUGACGGGUAGCAGGUGUGAGAGCGCGACCUGCGACAUCGGAACUGAGACACUGUCCGGACUCCUACGGGAGGCUGCAGCGACGAAUCUUCCGCAAUGGGCGCAAGCCUGACGGAGCGACGCCGCGUGUGGGAUGAAGCGCCUUCGGCGUGUAAACCACUGUCAGGGGGCAGAACCAAUGAUCGCCCCCAGAGGAAGAGGCGGCUAACCCUGUGCCAGCAGCCGCGGUAAGACAGGGGCCUCGAGCGUUAAUCGGAAUUACUGGGCUUAAAGGGUGCGUAGGCGGGCCUGCAAGUGCUUUGUGAAAUCCCCCGGCUCAACCGGGGAACUGCGGGGCAUACUGCGGGUCUUGAGGAAGGUAGGCGCCGAGGGAACAGUAGGUGGAGCGGUGAAAUGCGUAGAUAUCUACUGGAACGCCGAUGGUGAAGAC